UACGAAGGGGGCUAGCGUUGCUCGGAAUCACUGGGCGUAAAGGGUGCGUAGGCGGGUCUUUAAGUCAGGGGUGAAAUCCUGGAGCUCAACUCCAGAACUGCCUUUGAUACUGAAGAUCUUGAGUUCGGGAGAGGUGAGUGGAACUGCGAGUGUAGAGGCGAAAUUCGUAGAUAUUCGCAAGAACACCAGUGGCGAAGGCGGCUCACUGGCCCGAAACUGACGCUGAGGCACGAAAGCGUGGGGAGCAAACAGG
rnacentral:rRNA from 1 species